rnacentral:rRNA from 1 species
UACGUAGGGUGCGAGCGUUGUCCGGAAUUAUUGGGCGUAAAGAGCUUGUAGGCGGUUUGUCGCGUCUGCUGUGAAAAUCCGGGGCUCAACCCCGGACUUGCAGUGGGUACGGGCAGACUAGAGUGUGGUAGGGGAGACUGGAAUUCCUGGUGUAGCGGUGGAAUGCGCAGAUAUCAGGAGGAACACCGAUGGCGAAGGCAGGUCUCUGGGCCACUACUGACGCUGGAGAAGCGAAAAGCAUGGGGAGCGAACAGG